ACAUUGAUCUUAAUUGUCAUAUCUCAUGCUUUGGUUCUGAAUCUCCAACUUCAAACCUCUCCUUCCGCUUAUGUCUUCUUGUUUGCUUGAGGGCAAGUAAAGACUAAGUUUGGGGGAGUUGAUAUGUCUAUAAU
rnacentral:sRNA from 1 species